rnacentral:rRNA from 1 species
UACGUAGGGUGCGAGCGUUAAUCGGAAUUACUGGGCGUAAAGCGUGCGCAGGCGGUGAUGUAAGACAGUUGUGAAAUCCCCGGGCUCAACCUGGGAACUGCAUCUGUGACUGCAUCGCUGGAGUGCGGCAGAGGGGGAUGGAAUUCCGCGUGUAGCAGUGAAAUGCGUAGAUAUGCGGAGGAACACCGGUGGCGAAGGCAAUCCCCUGGGCCUGCACUGACGCUCAUGCACGAAAGCGUGGGGAGCAAACAGG